rnacentral:rRNA from 1 species
CGUAACAAGGUCUCCGUUGGUGAACCAGCGGAGGGAUCAUUACUGAGUUUACGCUCUAUAACCCUUUGUGAACAUACCUAUAACUGUUGCUUCGGCGGGUAGGGUCUCCGUGACCCUCCCGGCCUCCCGCCCCCGGGCGGGUCGGCGCCCGCCGGAGGAUAACCAAACUCUGAUUUAACGACGUUUCUUCUGAGUGGUACAAGCAAAUAAUCAAAACUUUUAACAACGGAUCUCUUGGUUCUGGCAUCGAUGAAGAACGCAGCGAAAUGCGAUAAGUAAUGUGAAUUGCAGAAUUCAGUGAAUCAUCGAAUCUUUGAACGCACAUUGCGCCCGCCAGCAUUCUGGCGGGCAUGCCUGUUCGAGCGUCAUUUCAACCCUCAAGCUCUGCUUGGUGUUGGGGCCCUACAGCUGAUGUAGGCCCUCAAAGGUAGUGGCGGACCCUCCCGGAGCCUCCUUUGCGUAGUAACUUUACGUCUCGCACUGGGAUCCGGAGGGACUCUUGCCGUAAAACCCCCCAAUUUUCCAAAGGUUGACCUCGGAUCAGGUAGGAAUACCCGCUGAACUUAAGCAUAUCAA